rnacentral:tRNA from 1 species
AACUAAGUGGUGGAUUACACGUUAAACUGCAAAUUUAAAGGCGCGAAAGCCUUAGUUA